AUCUGGAGAGAGACGAACAUGGCCGCACAUCAAGGGCCAUGACGUCCACCGAAGGGGAUAGUUCGUGAUCGGGCGCAGGCCCGAUGCGGAUCAAGCUCUCAGGUACCGUGACAGAU
rnacentral:ncRNA from 1 species